CUUGCUUUUGAUUUGAUUCCUUGAUCUUCCAGUGUUGCCCUUCAAGGACUGUGUUCCCCAGGCUCCUUGACCUUUGGCUUCCAGGUAUCCAGAAGCCCUGGAGAUCAGGAAAGCUCCUGUGACACAGUUUUUCCAAGAAUGGAGGCACAGUUCUAACUCCAGAGUGGAUUCCACAGUCUCAGCUCCAGAGGAUCCAGGGGCUGCUCCUUCCGUUGGGGCACAGAGCAGAAGCUGGUGAUAUGUCACUUACCAUGUGACCAUCAGGGGGGCUUUUCAGGCUCUGCCAGACUGUGCUCUUCACUUUGGAAAAGUUGAUCCUGUAGUUCUUCAUCAGCAGCAAGUAGAAGGUGGAGCAAAGAAAGAAGGCAAAGGGUCCCUCUCUGUUUGGAAGCACAGCCUGGUUUUGAGCUUUUGCUUUUUUGUCUCACCUUCCGGUCACCAAGAAGGAAAAAGAAAAAGAGCAGAUAUGUUUAUCCUCCAGCUUCUCUCUCCUGCAGGCUCACUGUGGGGACAGUAUAGUCUUGCCGGCCCUGGUGAUUGGGGCUGGGGUUAAGGCUGGGCCACGCAUUCAGUUCUCCUCUCCUCCCGCCGGCUGGGUACCUGUGUUCUGGUAAUACCUCUGCUUCCAUGAGCCCCCACCUCUGUCCUGGUCCUGGUAACCUUUCUAGUCUUUCUAGGUUUGAGGUUCUGCUUUGCCCUCUCUGGUCACUGCCUGAUGCCCAGAUCCCCAGAUCUAGCCUUCAGUUGCAUUCUGGGAUCUGAAGACAGAUGUUCCUGUGUCUGUGUGCCUGCCUGGAUGUCAGAAAACCCCUCUGGAAUUGCCCAUUGCUGGGAUCCACCUGCUGGCAGAGACGCCCUGUUACCAAAUGCUAGAUGAUCUGCUCCGCCCCUCCCCAGUGCUGAUCGUCGCUGAGCUGCCACCUGUUGUCCGUUUCCACACCCUUGUACACUGCACUGUGCCUAUCAUCCUGGAUGGCUGCCCGGCAGCUGCAGCGGAGGCCGUCCUGCCAGCACCUUCCCCGGCUUGAUGGGUGGUCUUGUCUGGCUCCUGGCCCUCCCAGCCUGCCUCAUCUGUUGCACUUCCUGGGCCACAUCUGGUUGAAUACAGAGCGGGGUUACCCUGGAGGGGUUCAUGGCACUCACUCCCAGAGAGAUGGUCAUAUUCCCUCAGGACCAUGAGGGAGGGCUAGGACCGGAAUUCAAUCAUGAACUACCAUAAAGCUAAUGUUUACUAAGGA